AUUGAACGCUAGCGGGAUGCUUUACACAUGCAAGUCGAACGAGUGGCGGACGGGUGAGUAAUAUAUCGGAACGUGCCCAGUAGCGGGGGAUAACUACUCGAAAGAGUGACUAAUACAGCAUCAUAGUGGUGCGGCCGAUAUCGGAUUAGCUAGUGGGUGGGGGAAAGGCCCACCAAGGCAACGAUCCGUAGCUGGUUUGAGAGGACGACCAGCCACACUAGGACUGAGACACGGCCCAGACUCCUACGGGAGGCAGCAGUGGGGAAUUUUGGACAAUGGGGGAAACCCUGAUCCAGCCAUCCCGCGUGUAUGAGAAGGCCUUCGGGUUGUAAAGUACUUUUGGCAGAGAAGCGGUAUCGGCAGAAUAAGCACCGGCUAACUACGUGCCAGCAGCCGCGGUAAUUC
rnacentral:rRNA from 1 species